AGCUGCCAUAAUGGUGAUAGCAGAAGUGCUCAUGUCAUGGCCCUGUGAGAUUCUAAUGAAUCUGCAAAUUCUGCU
rnacentral:ribozyme from 1 species